AAUUUAAAGACUAAUUACAAUUUUCAUUGUUAUUCAAAGAGUUCAAUGAGAAUUUUAUGCAAGUGAAAAAUCGAAUUUUUUCACUUGCAAAAUCCGUUGGCUCUUCAAUUUCUUCCUCAUGGGUCCCAAGGCAAGAGGCCCACUCAAAAGAACAACAAUCAUCAUAAACUGCAAUCGGAUGAUCAGAAACGCAUCAUUCUCAGCACGUAGACAAUAAUACCGUCUGACCGCAUCACACCGGAACCAAACCCAUUGAAAAUUACGCGCGCUGGGUUUUAGGGAGGAGGGCCUUUUUGGUGAAGCUUGUUUGUUUUCUUGUUGGGGAACCGAAGAGAUCAGAAACGCUGUCGUUCUCGUAGUCGCUGUCGUCGCCGUAUAUUCUCUCCAGCUUCAAAUACAAAGACUCUAUUUCCUCUUCUUUCUGCUCUGCAACAAUGUUACCGGCGAUGAAGAAGAAGAAGAGAGACGCAAACAACGGCCACCGCUGCAUCUACAUUAACGACGUUAUCGCCGCCGCCGCCAUAGGCGGCGUCAUUUUCAGAACCUCUAUUCUUCGGCGACACCUCCGCCGUUUCCGCCACCACGUGUUCCCGCUUAUCUGCGCCGUAUCCGGUUGCCUGCUUAUCUUCCUCGCUGCCUUCUCUCUCCUCGCUCCGUCUCCGGUUCUGCAUUUCCACAAUCACCUCUCGCUCUUGCGUCACCUCUCCUCGGUUGACAAUGGCGGCGAUGAGGUCCGGGAUAAUUCGGAUGAGACGACGACGUUUCGUGUGCCGGAGAGUGGAGGAAGUUCAGGUCGAGAUUUAUGGAGUACAAGGAAUUCGGAGCUUUUCUUCGGUUGCAGCAAUGCCGCCGAUAACUUUGCAACUGCUGAUGCGAAAACUCAUUCGAAUCGCUACUUGUUGAUUGCUACAAGUGGAGGUUUGAACCAGCAAAGAACAGGGAUAACAGAUGCUGUCGUUGCAGCUUAUAUCUUGAAUGCUACUCUUGUUGUUCCCAAGCUGGACCAGAAAUCGUAUUGGAAGGAUUCCAGUAACUUUGAUGAAAUCUUUGACGUAGACUGGUUUAUAUCAUCUCUCUCAAAAGAUGUUAAAAUCAUAAAACAGCUUCCAACAAAGGGAGGGAAACCAAUGAGCCCAUAUACCAUGCGAGUUCCGAGGAAGUGUAAUGCAAAAUGUUAUCAGAAUCGCUUGGUGCCCGUUCUUAAUAAAAAGCAUGCUGUUCAGCUCACAAAAUUUGAUUACAGACUUUCAAAUAAGUUGGAUUCAAAUUUACAAAAGCUGAGAUGUAGAGCCAAUUAUCAAGCCUUGAAAUUUACCGACACGAUUAGCAAAAUGGGUAAAAAGUUGGUUGAGAGAAUGAGCAUGAAAAGCAAGCAUUUCAUUACCCUGCAUUUGAGGUUUGAGCCGGAUAUGCUGGCAUUUUCUGGAUGCGAUUAUGGUGGGGGAGAAAAAGAAAGGAAAGAGCUUGGCAAACUUCGGAAAAGGUGGAAAACUUUACAUGCAAGCAACCCUGACAAGGUAAGAAGACAUGGCAGAUGCCCGCUAACUCCAGAGGAAGUUGGUCUCAUGCUUAGAGCGUUGGGUUUCGGAAGUGAUGUUCACUUGUAUGUGGCAUCCGGUGAAGUUUAUGGAAGUGAAGAGACAUUGGCACCCCUAAAAACACUUUUCCCAAACUUCCACACAAAAGAGACUCUGUUAAGCAAGGAGGAGUUGGCCCCAUUUUCAUCCUUCUCUUCUCGAAUGGCUGCACUGGACUUUAUUGUUUGCGAUGAAAGUGAUGUUUUCGUCACCAACAACAAUGGCAAUAUGGCUAAAAUGUUAGCUGGUCGAAGGAGAUACUUUGGUCACAAACCAACAAUCCGUCCAAAUGCUAAGAAACUGUCUCAGUUGUUCAUAAAUCGUAAUAACAUGACUUGGGAAGAAUUUGCAUCGAGGAUUCGAACAAAUCAAAUUGGAUUCUUGGGAGAGCCAAAUGAGGUAAAGCCAGGAAGGGGUGUGUUCCACGAAAACCCCGCUGCCUGCAUUUGUAGCACAUCUGACACAAAGGCUAAGGAGGAUUAUACGAACAAGGACAGUGGUUAUGCGACAGAUGAGCAAGUAACCGAGGACGAGCAAGAUUGGUCUGAGAUGGAUUAUGCUGAAAUUACAAAUCAGUCUCUGGGGAAAGUGCUGCCUAGUGGAAGAGUUUCAGGUCCAAGUGAUCUACUCAAAUCCGACCAACCAGAACUCGAAGAGUUCUUUUCAGACUGAAGGUUGAAGACAGGAUUUCCAAUUUUGGCAAGUUAGCAGUUUUGUCUAAACGAACUCUUCACCAAAUUCUUUGGGUCUUUCUGUCACCGGUUUUGAUAGGUUACUUACUUACAUGGACGAGCGUGAUUUGUACAAUUGAAGUGGCCGUGACGGAAAAGCACAUUGUAUAUACAGGCUUCAGCAGUUCAUCAGCUUCGGCUUGAAAUAACAGUAAGUGGUGGCAGGCAAUACUGGUCUAUUCAGAUUUUGAACCUUGUACAGGAUUCGUGCUAAUGUCAUUAUUUUCUUUUCUUUGAUGAUUCCUUCCGUAAGGCAGGAAAGGAACGUAUAUAUGGCGGAGAUAUGAGGGUUUAGGGUUUAGGGUGUGGCUAUUGUAAGGGCUUGGAAUUGAGGCUUUACUCUUAAAUUUUCUUCAAUUUCUUUGUCCUUUUUAUUCCGAUGCGUCCUCUAUUGUAGGCAUGGAAUUAUUCAACUCUCUUGUUUGGUGUAUCUGUUGAAGGAAAGAAUGACAAGUUUUGGAAGUUGUUUUUGUGCAAAAACGCUAACCAUUUGAGGAAGGCAAAUGAAGAAACCAAAAUGUGUUUGCCACUGGAAAAAGUAGUUCUUCUCCUUGUUCCUUGUAAUGUCACUGAUUAAGGUCUAUAAGUUUCAUUUCCACUUGCUUCAGAUUCUUCACGGCGUCUCUUUGGUCUCGUUGGAGCUCUCUUCAACUUUGAUACCAAAUUUCUCAACUUUUCGGGCACACAUCAGGCAGAUCCCACACUUUUCACCUCAACAUUGUAAUCACCAUAGGGUCCGUCUUGCGCGUCCGGUAGUAGGUAGAUGUACAAAGGAGCACCGGAGAUGUAGCCCAAAAGCAUCCUCCGCCACAAGACUUGCAACACCCACUACCACAUUCUGUUCUCUAUAACCAUUAUAACAACUAAAACAUUUCUCGGCUUCUGACUCGUCACUUCCACGUGCUUCAGGCCCAUCACUUCCUUUUGCUUCAGUUUCAUUUCACCCCCGUAUCUUCUUCUGCUUGUGGUCCUCCCAACAUGACAUUAAAUUUCAACUUCUCAGCACCUUCGGCAUACAACAAGCACAUGCUGUUAGGAUUCUAUUGAAUUGUCACUGAGCAUAAUAAGGACAAUCAUACGUGGAAUUAAUUAAUUAAAGUCAAAACCAUUUAAAGGAUAAAAUCUCUUGUUUGUAGGACACUAUAUACGUGCUUCAGUUGUGGUUUAACAACUGACAAAUGUGGAGGUUUUUUAGGCUUCAACGAUCCCACGAUAGUUGGGAUGCAGUUGGAUUAUAAGUCUAUGUAGGAGGUGUCCCUGCUCACGGGAAGAUAACGUCAAAACAAGAUCUAGAACUAUCGCUAGGGUUUUGAUAUCAGGUUCCUCAGUGAGUAGAAGACUCUUGGUUUUGCUGCUGUCUUUGCUGCUUGAUCGAUGGGGUUAUCAUGUAUGAUUGAUGUCUUUCUUCAUUUCAAUUCUUGCAAUGUUCUAUGUAAGAUAUGUAGGAGAUGUGAUCCUUGUUGAAGACUAACCAGAUGUAGGUCUAACACAUGCCACACUUUUUCACCAUAUGACUCCAGUGAAGUCUGCUGAACGUAUCCAGUGUUAGACCAAGUCGUUAGUUUGUGUGGAGUCUUGUAUUUGGUUUCAAAGACUGUUUGUUUGAAGUCUUGUAUUUGGUUUCAAAGACCUCUCUCUUUAGAGUUGGAUAGGCUUAGGACUUUAUGUAACUAGGGUUUUCAAACCCUAAAUGU